GUCUUGGUCGAUUAGUGGUCAAAUCAUCUCGUUGUGGUUUGCUGUAUGUCGUUACAACCGAGAAGCCGAGGGCUCGACUCCCUCCCGAGACA